rnacentral:lncRNA from 1 species
UAGCAUUCAGUCAUUAAUGAAAGAAUUUUAAGGUUGAUGAAUGGUGAAAUAUAAUUCUAAAUUAUAUGAGGUAAAAUGUCUUUCUAACAUGUUCGACAAUUCCUUUAGUAACUUUUUGGUACUGUAUAAACGAUUAUAAAAAGUUAUGUUUUCAUCUAAUGAAUUUCCCACUUUUAUGACUAGAUUUGCCAGGUCUCACAAAAAUUAUCUUCCUGCUUGGUUUAAAUCCUUUCUAUAAACAAUAUGAAAAGAUAUAAAAACAAUAUUAGUAUAAACACAACUCUGCAGGCUU